rnacentral:lncRNA from 1 species
CGGACAGGUGAAGCAUUCCGGGAGCAGAAAGGCGGCUCCGGCCCUUCGUUGCGAGGCUUCCACCGGGAGAAUGAGGGUGGGCAGCGAGGAAUCCAGAAGAGAAGGGGGCAGGGGAGGCAGACUCUAUCUGCGGGAACCUUCCAGUGGCCGGCUGGAACGCCUCCGGAGGGCGGUGCUCUUUUCUCAGCGGCCGCAGGGCAGGGGGCGGGGCCGGGUUUGUUUCUGUUUCUAAAACGCGGGGCUCAGUCGACCAGGAGGGGCGAGGUCCGGGGAGUCCCGGCCUUUCGGCGUCCUCUGCCGGAUCCCGGGUUUAUGGUCACCUCUCCCUCGGUUAGGGUGUCCGUCUGUAAAUCUUUGGCGAUCCUCCCUUCGCUCUUCAGUGGCGACACUUGGGAUGGCGGGGUGAGGAAGGGGUAGUGAGGGAAAGGCCUUUGGUUUUGGUCUUUCCCCUCCCCAAGAGACUGUAUUCGUGUAUUCCUGUAUAAUGAAACGUAAUGUGGUAAACCUUGGUGCUGCCACUUGCUGAGGUUACCUGAGUGCUACUCACUUGGAUACGUGAAAGGAAUUUGCCAUUCCUUCCACCCGUGAUCUUGCACUUGGCUGUCAAUGCAGUAAGGGCCCAUAGUGGGUGUUUAGAAGAUAUUGUGGGAGUAGAUGUUCAAAAUCGAGGAAAAUGCUAAUCUCCAGCGGGGAAGGUUUUGUUCCUUAGUGAUAGCCAAUAGAAGUUAAAGCACUUCUAUUACCAGUGACCACAACCAUUCCCUGUCAUUCUCCGUUUCAUUUAUCUGGUUCCGACCAUCAUUUUCUAUCUUUCCACUUCACUCCCUCUGGGACACCAACUUUGGCAGUGCAGUCCCCUCAUUCUACCUGGAAUCCAUUGUUCUACAAAAUCUUCACUGUCCCACACUUCUUUGGUGUUUCUUUCUUAUCCUGAAUACCAUUAAAUUACUUCAUUGCCUAACUCUUCAUCGGUAAAAACUACAACUUCGACUACAUUCAAAUCUGUAGCUGAACAUGACUGGAGAAAACUAUACACCCGGGUCGGGCGUGGCUCCCAGCAUUUUGGGAGGCCAAGGCGUGAGGAUCACUUGAGGUCAGGAGUCCGAGACCAGCCUGGCCAACAUGGUGAAACCCGGUCUCUACCAAAAAUAGAAAAAUUAGCCGGGCGCGGUGGCUCACGCCUGUAAUCCCAGCGCUCUGGGAGGCAGAGGUGGGUGGAUCACGAGGUAAGGAGUUUCAGACCAACCUGGCCAACAUGGUGAAACCCUGUCUCUAUUAAAGAUACAAAAAAUUAGCCGGGCAUGGUGGUGCACGCCUGUAAUCCCAGCUACUCGGGAGGCUGAGGCAGGAGAAUCGCUUGAACCUGGGAGGUGGAGGUUGCAGCGAGCCAAGAUCGCGCCACUGCACUCCAGCCUGGGUGACAAAGCGAGACUGUCUCAAAAAAAAAAAAAAAAAGAAGAAAGAAAAAAAGAAAAAUUAGCUGGGCAUGAUGGUGCGCUCAUGUAAUCCCGGCUACUUGGGAAGCUGAGGCAGGAGAAUCGCUUGAACCCGGAAGGUGGAGGUUACAGUGAGCCAAGAUCUCGCCGUUGCACUCCAGCCUGGGCAACAAGAGCGAAACUCCGUCUCAAAAAAAGAAAAGAAAGAAAACAGAAAACUAUACACCCAUACUGACAUGCCUCCCUGUAACUCCAUCAGGACCAUGUACCUUGAGUGGGCCCAUAAUGCUGCCCAGCAAACACAUUGUAUUUGCCUUCUCCAUUUACUGUUCUAA